rnacentral:rRNA from 1 species
CAGCUCGUGUCUGAGAUGUUGGGUUAAGUCCCGUAACGAGCGCAACCCUUGUCCUUAGUUACCAGCACGUAAUGGUGGGCACUCUAAGGAGACUGCCGGUGACAAACCGGAGGAAGGUGGGGAUGACGUCAAGUCAUCAUGGCCCUUACGGCCUGGGCUACACACGUGCUACAAUGGUCGGUACAGAGGGUUGCCAAGCCGCGAGGUGGAGCUAAUCCCAGAAAACCGAUCGUAGUCCGGAUCGCAGUCUGCAACUCGACUGCGNGAAGUCGGAAUCGCUAGUAAUCGCGAAUCAGAAUGUCGCGGUGAAUACGUCCCCUGGCCUUGUACACACCGCCC